rnacentral:rRNA from 1 species
AUGGUAGAAGGAUCCGUGGAUGAUAUCAUGUAUCUCAAGUUCCUCCUCCUAUGCUUCCAGCACCUGUCGGGCCUCAAGAUCAACUUCGACAAGAGUCAGGUCAUGGUGUUAGGGUACUCUCCUGCCGACAGGCUUAAUUUCCCAUUAGAUCCUUUGGGCUACUUCUCCUCUAAAUCCCUCUACAGGGCCAUCAUCCCCACUCCCGCCUCGGAGCCACUUAUAGUGACCUGGGAGAUCAAACUCCCCCUAAAGAUCAGGAUCUUCCUUUGGCAAUGGAUCCGUGGGAACGUCCAAGUGGAAGUGCUGAAGCGAAAUGGCCCCGGUGAUGGGAUGUGCCCCCUGUGUGGGACGCUCGAGGACUCCAAUCAUAUCUUCUUGUCUUGCGUUUCUGCCCAGUUCCUGUGGAGUUUCCUCCGCGAGUCGGUAGAAAUUAGCAAUCUGGUCCACCUCAAUCUUACCUCCGGCUCUGUGUGCAGCUGCUCAGCUCCUAGCUGCUGGCCUUCUAUGCUGCACGUCUCUAGUCCCCAGUGCCAGGGUGCACACCUGCACACUGCCGUCCGCCGAGGAGACUGCUGCCGCUGGCCGUGGCGACUGGGCGCGGUGGCCGGCACCGGCACAGAAGCAGCAGGGUGCAGGCACGCAGCCAUUGGCAGCCUGCUGGGGAAGGAUGCAGCAUCCAUCGAGAAAGAGACUAGCUCCAUCGAGUUGAAGAGCUCCGGCGGGAUCUCGGUCAGAUUCCAGAAUCUAGUGACGUUCCUGCAUGAUCAAGAAGGUGUUGUUGAUGAGCGAGAGCCGCCGCCCAUCUGCACGUUCGUCGCCAUGGCCUUCCGUUGCUGCUACUUGUCGAAGGAAACUUUGGGGAAGAUGGGUGGAUGGAUGGGCUCCGCCACGCCCGCGACCUACACCGUCGACCUGCGCCGCGCGCUCCACCGCGGCCUCGGCGUCCGCGUAGUAGAGGAAGCAGAAGCCGGCGUUGCGCUCAGGAUCGUCGUGGGCGCGCACGAGCUCCACCUUGUCGAGCUCGGCCGUGAGCCCAACGACCCCAUCCCCCACGACGACAUGGUCAAGUCAAGUGAAGGUGGAGGGCCUGGUGGAGAAGGGAGCGAGGGGCUCGGGCUGGCGGAGGGCCUGGUGGAGGGUGGGGCGUCGCAAGGAGAAGACGACAGGGAGGAAGGGGACGGGAUCAAGAGGAGCGGGUGGGGAAGGGAGGGGGUCAGAGUGGCGAUGCUCCGCCAGAUGCCGGCUGGAGUAGGAGCAUCGGGGUCGAUGGAGAGUAGCAGGAGCCGAGGUUGUGCAUGCGCGGGCAGUAGAGGGCUCGCCGGUGGCUCACUGAGGGAGAGAUCCAGGAGGGGAUGGGGAGGGAGGUGGCGGCGCGAUCUGGAAGGCGAGGAGGAGCGAGUGGUGGCGCGUAGGCGCUGA